ACUGUGCACACGCGCACUCCCACUCGCACUCGCACUUGCGCCUCCCAGUCUCAUCCCGCUUAAAUGCCCCGGACCUAAUCAUUCCCACCCCUCCCCUCUCCCCUCUCUCUCUCUCUCCACCCCCACCCUCCUGGCCGGCCACCAUGGCGAUCUCCGAGCUCGGCUGACCUGACCGGACGAGAUGAGAAUGCGGCGGAUUUGAGGAUGGGGUUCCGCCGGGCGGAUUCGUGAGAGGGGUCCUUGGUUUUUGGUGUUGGUGCUGCGGGUGCGGGGGAGAUGAGCUCCUCGUCAGGGGCCAGCCUUGGCGGCCAGCCGCCGCCGCCGCCGCCCGCCGCGCCGCCGGAGGAAGAGAAGAAGAACCUCAACUCGGAGCUGUGGCACGCAUGCGCCGGCCCGCUCGUCUGCCUCCCCACCCUCGGCACGCGCGUCGUCUACUUCCCGCAGGGCCACAGCGAGCAGGUGGCGGCGUCCACGAACAAGGAGGUGGAGGGGCACAUCCCCAACUACCCCAACCUGCCGCCGCAGCUCAUCUGCCAGCUGCACGAUGUCACAAUGCAUGCUGAUGUGGAGACCGACGAAGUGUACGCGCAGAUGACGCUGCAGCCGCUGAAUCCACAAGAGCAGAACGACGCCUACCUGCCGGCGGAGAUGGGGAUCAUGAGCAAGCAGCCGACCAACUACUUCUGCAAGACGCUGACGGCCAGCGACACCAGCACGCACGGCGGCUUCUCCGUGCCCCGCCGUGCCGCCGAGCGCGUCUUCCCCCCUCUGGAUUUCACGCAGCAGCCUCCUGCUCAGGAGCUAAUUGCGCGGGACAUUCAUGAUGUGGAGUGGAAGUUUAGGCACAUCUUCCGAGGCCAGCCCAAACGACACUUGCUAACUACUGGCUGGAGUGUGUUCGUUAGCGCCAAAAGACUAGUUGCUGGAGACUCAGUGCUCUUCAUAUGGAACGAGAAAAACCAGCUUUGGCUAGGAAUCAGGCGUGCCAACCGGACACAGACUGUGAUGCCUUCCUCUGUUCUUUCGAGUGACAGCAUGCACAUAGGGCUCCUUGCAGCUGCGGCUCACGCUGCUUCUACAAACAGCCGCUUCACAAUUUUCUACAAUCCGAGGGCAUGUCCAUCAGAAUUUGUCAUACCACUCUCAAAGUAUAUCAAGGCUGUUUUUCACACCCGGAUAUCGGUCGGCAUGCGGUUCAGGAUGCUCUUUGAGACCGAGGAAUCUAGUGUUCGCAGGUAUAUGGGGACGAUAACAGAAGUGAGUGAUGCUGAUCCAGUGCGUUGGGCUAGUUCCUACUGGAGAUCAGUUAAGGUUGGUUGGGAUGAAUCAACUGCUGGGGAAAGGCCGCCUAGAGUUUCUUUAUGGGAGAUUGAACCAUUGACAACCUUUCCUAUGUAUCCGUCUUUGUUUCCGCUGAGGGUUAAGCAUCCCUGGUAUUCUGGUGUAGCAGGCCUUCAAGAUGACAGCAAUGCUUUGAUGUGGCUGAGAGGAGUUGCUGGAGAUGGAGGUUAUCAGUCUAUGAACUUUCAGUCACCUGGUAUUGGCUCCUGGGGACAACAGAGGCUCCAUCCUUCUUUGCUGAGUACCGACCAUGAUCAGUACCAAGCUGUAGUUGCUGCUGCUGCCGCCGCCUCCCAGUCUGGUGGUUAUAUGAAACAACAAUUCCUAAACCUUCAGCAGCCUAUGCAGUCGCCUCAAGAACACUGCAACCUCAACCCGCUCUUGCAGCAACAGAUCUUGCAGCAAGCAAGCCAACAACAAACCGUUAGUGCUGAUAGUCAGAAUAUUCAGGCAAUGCUGAACUCAAGUGCUAUGCAGCACCAACUUCAACAGCUCCAGCAACUGCAGCAGGUGCACCAGGUGCAGCAGGCGCAGCAGGCUCACAUUGAUCAGAAGCAGAAGAUUCAAUCAGAUCAAACAUAUCAUGUUCCUACUAGUGCGUCUCUCCCAAGUCCAACAUCACUACCAAGCCAUCUGCGUGAAAAAUUUGGCUUCUCUGAUCCUAAUGCUAAUUCGUCAAGCUUCACCACUUCUAGCAGCAGCGACAACAUGCUGGAAUCGAACUUCCUUCAGGGGAAUUCGAAAGCUGUAGACUUGUCUAGAUUCAAUCAGCCAGUAGCUAGCGAUCAGCAGCAGCAGCAGCAACAACAGCAACAGCAGGCUUGGAAGCAAAAGUUUAUGGGUUCACAAUCACUGUCUUUUGGGGGCUCGGGUUUGCUUAGCUCACCCACAAGUAAAGACGGUUCUCUUGAGAGCAAAAUUGGUUCUGAUGUGCAAAAUCAGUCCCUUUUUAGUCCUCAAGUUGAUUCUUCCUCCCUACUGUACAACAUGGUGCCUAACAUGACUUCAAAUGUUGCGGAUAACAACAUGUCUACGAUUCCUUCUGGAUCAACAUAUCUGCAAAGUCCCAUGUAUGGUUGUUUGGACGACUCUUCUGGUAUAUUUCAGAAUACAGGAGAGAAUGACCCAACAAGCAGAACAUUCGUGAAGGUUUAUAAGUCAGGAUCAGUGGGGAGGUCCUUGGACAUCACCCGGUUCUCCAAUUAUGCUGAACUUCGGGAAGAACUGGGUCAGAUGUACGGCAUUAGGGGUCAGUUGGAUGACCCCGAUAGAUCAGGCUGGCAGCUUGUAUUCGUCGACAGGGAGAAUGAUGUGCUUCUCCUUGGAGACGACCCUUGGGAGUCAUUUGUCAAUAGUGUAUGGUACAUCAAGAUACUUUCACCAGAGGAUGUGCACAAGUUGGGCAAGCAAGGAAAUGAUCCACGUUACCUUUCCUAAGUGCAAGAUCAUUGUGCUGUUUCUGUGGACUUCCAUGGAGAAAAUUCAGAUUUUUAUGGCAUCUCUGAUCCAGCGAGGAUUCGACAGCACAUGGUAGCACCCUUGCUCACGGCGGCACAACAUCCCCGGAACCUCCCAUCGUCUCAUCUUCGUACCUGUCUCUUGUGUGUGCUCCGUGCACGUCUCGAGAGCUCCCCGUCCGUUACCUAUCUCCGUCCGGUGCAAGCCACCGACACCAUGAACUGAUAUUUCUGUAGGUUCCUCUUGGGAAUCUGUAUCGGUUUAACUUUUAUCCUAGAUGGUUUGUACCCCGCGUGGCGCGGCAGCCCAUCUGCCCGUCUGUUCACGCGCCGCAUCAAAUGUUUCAAGACUAUGCUUAGUUGGUACUGUGUUCGGUCGUAUUCUAUCUAUGUAUUCGAGACUCCCAGGCACGCUUUCCUUGAAGAACUGCAAUAAUUUGAAUGCAGGAGGAUUAUUUCGAGUCGUUUUGAUGAA